rnacentral:rRNA from 1 species
GACGAACGCUGGCGGCGUGCCUAAUACAUGCAAGUAGAACGCUGAAGGAGGAGCUUGCUUCUCUGGAUGAGUUGCGAACGGGUGAGUAACGCGUAGGUAACCUGCCUGGUAGCGGGGGAUAACUAUUGGAAACGAUAGCUAAUACCGCAUAAGAGUAGAUGUUGCAUGACAUUUGCUUAAAAGGUGCAAUUGCAUCACUACCAGAUGGACCUGCGUUGCAUUAGCUAGUUGGUGGGGUAACGGCUCACCAAGGCGACGAUACAUAGCCGACCUGAGAGGGUGAUCGGCCACACUGGGACUGGGACACGGCCCAGACUCCUACGGGAGGCAGCAGUAGGGAAUCUUCGGAAAUGGACGGAAGUCUGACCGAGCAACGCCGCGUGAGUGAAGAAGGUUUUCGGAUCGUAAAGCUCUGUUGUAAGAGAAGAACGAGUGUGAGAGUGGAAAGUUCACACUGUGACGGUAUCUUACCAGAAAGGGACGGUUAACUACGUG